AUCGGUCCCCAAACUCCUACGGGAGGCAGGCAGGUAAGGAUCCUGACAUGACGGAAAGUCCGAUGGAGCACGCCGCGUGAGUGAGGAGGUUCGGGCUCGUAAACUCUGUGUAAAGAAGAACAUAUCUGAGAGUAACUGUUCAGGUAUUGACGGUAUUUAACCAGAAAGCCACGGCUAACUACGUGCCAGCAGCCGCGGUAAUACGUAGGUGGCAGCGUUGUCCGGAUUUAUUGGGCGUAAAGCGAGCGCAGGCGGUUUUUUAAGUCUGAUGUGAAAGCUUUCGGCUCAACCGAAGAAGUGCAUCGGAAACUGGGAAACUUGAGUGCAGAAGAGGACAGUGGAACUCCAUGUGUAGCGGUGAAAUGCGUAGAUAUAUGGAAGAACACCAGUGGCGAAGGCGGCUGUCUGGUCUGUAACUGACGCUGAGGCUCGAAAGUAUGGGUAGCAAACAGGAUUAGAUACCCUGGUAGUCCAUACCGUAAACGAUGAAUGCUAAGUGUUGGAGGGUUUCCGCCCUUCAGUGCUGCAGCUAACGCAUUAAGCAUUCCGCCUGGGGAGUACGGCCGCAAGGCUGAAACUCAAAGGAAUUGACGGGGGCCCGCACAAGCGGUGGAGCAUGUGGUUUAAUUCGAAGCUACGCGAAGAACCUUACCAGGUCUUGACAUACUAUGCAAAUCUAAGAGAUUAGACGUUCCCUUCGGGGACAUGGAUACAGGUGGUGCAUGGUUGUCGUCAGCUCGUGUCGUGAGAUGUUGGGUUAAGUCCCGCAACGAGCGCAACCCUUAUUAUCAGUUGCCAGCAUUAAGUUGGGCACUCUGGUGAGACUGCCGGUGACAAACCGGAGGAAGGUGGGGAUGACGUCAAAUCAUCAUGCCCCUUAUGACCUGGGCUACACACGUGCUACAAUGGAUGGUACAACGAGUUGCGAACUCGCGAGAGUAAGCUAAUCUCUUAAAGCCAUUCUCAGUUCGGAUUGUAGGCUGCAACUCGCCUACAUGAAGUCGGAAUCGCUAGUAAUCGCGGAUCAGCAUGCCGCGGUGAAUACGUUCCCGGGCCUUGUACACACCGCCCGUCACACCAUGAGAGUUUGUAACACCCAAAGUCGGUGGGGUAACCUUUUAGGAACCAGCCGCCUAAGGUGGGACAGAUGAUUAGGGUGAAAGUCGUAAUAAAAGGCCCAAA
rnacentral:rRNA from 1 species